rnacentral:rRNA from 1 species
GGGGAAUAUUGCGCAAUGGGGGAAACCCUGACGCAGCCAUGCCGCGUGAAUGAAGAAGGCCUUCGGGUUGUAAAGUUCUUUCGGUAUUGAGGAAGGGAUGUGUGCUAAUAGUACAUAUCAUUGACGUUAAAUACAGAAGAAGCACCGGCUAACUCCGUGCCAGCAGCCGCGGUAAUACGGAGGGUGCGAGCGUUAAUCGGAAUAACUGGGCGUAAAGGGCACGCAGGCGGUUAUUUAAGUGAGGUGUGAAAGCCCCGGGCUUAACCUGGGAAUUGCAUUUCAGACUGGGUAACUAGAGUACUUUAGGGAGGGGUAGAAUUCCACGUGUAGCGGUGAAAUGCGUAGAGAUGUGGAGGAAUACCGAAGGCGAAGGCAGCCCCUUGGGAAUGUACUGACGCUCAUGUGCGAAAGCGUGGGGAGCAAACAGGAUUAGAUACCCUGGUAGUCCACGCUGUAAACGCUGUCGAUUUGGGGAUUGGGCUUAAAGCUUGGUGCCCGUAGCUAACGUGAUAAAUCGACCGCCUGGGGAGUACGGCCGCAAGGUUA